CGAGGUUUCCACACGUCGCUUCUAAACCUGUUCCGCCAGGUCGCCAGCAGGGGGCGCGUUACUCUCCCUCGCAGGAGGGGUUGUCCUCUCUGCAAUCAGCAUCGGACAGCAGCCGAGCCGCUCUUCGUCUUUAAAAGCUGCUGGAAACACACGCACGCACUCACCUGCUGCUGAUAACCGAGCUACGAUGUUCUGCAGGCGGGCGUUCCAGAGAGUCGGGCCGCUGGCGCGGAGGGCGUUCAGGCCAACGUCCAGGAAUGCAGCUCCAGUGCGACACAUGGCCUUCGGGGUCCCUGGUGGCUCCUCCAACAUGGCGUACAUUGUCCUGUGUGGCGGAGGCGUCACUGCCGCAGUCGUCUAUGCCUACAAGACGGUCGGCGGCAACGGUGAGCGCCAUGAGGACCGACUCGCCACCAUGGCCGUCAUAGAAAAGGCACCGGAAGUUGCCGCUCCUGCAGCUGAACCCGCCGCAUUGGAGGAGGCAGCGCCGACCCCCGAGGUCCUGGCUGAGGUUGUUGAGGAGUCUGGCCCUGCUCCUGCCGAACCAGUAGCCGAGGCUGCUGCUGAACCCGACGUGCUUGCAGAGUCCAUCCCUGCAGAACCAGUAGCAGAGACCGCUCCCGAACCUGCCGUCGAGGCGGUGUCUGAAGAAGAAGCUGCAGCCGAGGUGGUCGUUGCAGAGCCGGCACCGACAGAAGAAGCCGCUCCAGCUGCCGUGGAAGAUGAGUCUGCUGCCACCGUGGAGGUUGCUGCCACCGAGGAGACGCCGGCAGAGGCCCCUGCAGCAGAAGCCCACUUGGCAGAAAGUGCUGAGUCCUUGCCUGAUCUGCUCACAGCAGUGAAAGUCUUGGCUGGCCCUCCGAUUGAGAUAGCGGCAGCUUCUGUUGAGAACAGUCUGGUGGAAGGUUUGGACUUUCCACUGAAGGUGGUCGAACCAGAAGCUGUGGAAGCGACCACAGAGGAGGUAGCCAAAGAAGCUCAAGAGGUGACCAUGGUGAACGAGGAGGAGUCGAAGCCUGCAGAUGCUGAACAGCUGGUUGAAGAAGGGACAGCUGCCAGUGUAGAGGCAGCGCUGGAGGAGGAGGUGGCUGCGUCUCUGUCUGAGGAAGCUACAACUUCAGUCCUGGCUGUGGAGGAGGAGGAGGGGGAGAAGGAGGAGGAGGUCCAGUCUGAAGACCAGACUGCAGACUCUGCAGCUGUCCGGGAGGAAGCCGCCGCCUCUUCUGAUACCCCACCUGAAGAUGCUGCUCCUGCUGAGGAGGCCACCACUGCUGCUGAAGCUGCUCCUCUGGAUGACACGCCGCCCGAUGCGGAGACAUGGGUGGAUGACGUAGCAGCCGAAGCUUUGGCAGCAACGCAUAGUGAAGCUGCAGCAGUCGUAGAUGCGAGUCAGCUGGCAGCAGCCUCCUCCGGGUCAGACCUGGAGGUGCUCUCAGCUGCUGGACCAGGAGCUACGUCAGAAGCUCCAGGGCAAGAGUCCAAGCGCUGCCACUCUUGCCACUCUGCUCCAUCAAUAGCCGUCGAAGUGGCGCCACCUGCUGCUUUGGGAGUGCAGCCGUCCGGUGAGGAAGAUGUGGAUGUUGCAGAGGAGGUCAAGGAGGCAGAGUCCCUGGUUGAAGGACAAACGGCACAGACAUUGGCGGUGGCAACGACCCAGUCGUGAUGGACAGUGUGCCUUCUACAACACUCGCUUAUCCGUCAACGGGGCCCGGAUGGCCGAUGAAAGCGGCACGGGGAGAACCAGCUACUGGUCUAAUUAGUGAAUGUGUCCUUUCAAAUGUUUUCAAGGGGGUUUAUUGUGUUUCUUCUGAUCUUUAGUAGCCUUUGUGAAACUAUUCCCAUAAUGUCUCUUGUCCUCUAGAUGUCACUGUAGCAUGACAAGUUGAGAGCACACAGGGUUCUUUGUAGUUGUUUCUAAGUGUUGGAAGGGUUUUGUUCUUUAUGUAAUGUUGUGACAGACUGAUGUCAAUAUUCAGCUCAACAAUAACUAGCAACUAAGACUGCACCAGAUAUUGUAUUUGGGGAAAUAGUUUAAAUAGGUGCAGACAUGAGAAUGUUUAGUGGUUUAAGACCAUCUCACCUUUAUUGUGUUGCUUUCAUAAAGGAAAACGUUACAUAUUAGAUAUUUGCUUUUUAAAGCUAGACUACAACUGGCAUCAUUAAUGUGUGUAUAUAUAAUGUGAUGUGAAUGAUUUUCUUCUUAUUCUAGACUAAUUUUCCUUCGACAACAAAGGAUAGAAACAUAAUGUCCAGGGUCAACAUGAACAUUCAAUCCAAAGAGGGUUGCAGAUAUAUCAUAAUAUAUUGUCAUCAUUGAACUAUGUAUCAUAUGAACUAGUUAACAUACCUCUUUGUAUUUAGUCAAAUACAAUAUCUUUCUUGUCAUGAAAGUGCGCUCACAUAGACAAUAAAGUGAUGGACAAACAAUUCAAAGUUCGGCUGUUUAUAAAGGUAUGUUUAAUAAACAUGGUCUUGCACUGUGCUGUAGUAGAUGUCAGUGGACCUUUUGAUGGAUCGAUAUAGAUAUUAGCUUUUCAUGUUUUAGGAAUACCAUCAAUUAAUUGGAAUACCAAUUUAGUGACCAUCUUCGUUGUCCUGAAACGGCCCAUUGAUGAGCUUUUAAAACCAACGGAUCAGGACCAGAUUUAUGUUUAUGUUCUUUGUUUUUAUUCCUCAAAUAAAAAAAUAAAAAACUUAACAAAUACACCAAUAAAACCGAACUGAUGGAGUCUAA
ensembl:lncRNA